UACGUAGGGGGCAAGCGUUGUCCGGAAUCAUUGGGCGUAAAGGGCGCGUAGGCGGUUCGCUAAGUCGGAUGUGAAAACUCUGGGCUCAACCCAGAGCCUGCAUCCGAAACUGGCGGGCUAGGGUUCUGGAGGGGGUAGCGGAAUUCCUGGUGUAGCGGUGAAAUGCGUAGAUAUCAGGAGGAACACCGGUGGCGAAGGCGGCUACCUGGACAGAAACUGACGCUGAGGCGCGAAAGCUAGGGGAGCAAACAGG
rnacentral:rRNA from 1 species